rnacentral:sRNA from 1 species
UGACCGCGACCCUUCAUCGGUCCAGCCAC